rnacentral:rRNA from 1 species
UACGUAGGGUGCAAGCGUUGUCCGGAAUUAUUGGGCGUAAAGAGCUCGUAGGCGGUUUGUCGCGUCGGCUGUGAAAACUCGGGGCUCAACCCCGAGCCUGCAGUCGAUACGGGCAAACUAGAGUGUGCUAGGGGAGACUGGAAUUCCUGGUGUAGCGGUGAAAUGCGCAGAUAUCAGGAGGAACACCGGCGGCGAAGGCGGGUCUCUGGGGCAUAACUGACGCCGAGGAGCGAAAGCGUGGGGAGCGAACAGG